GGGGCUGCAGCUCAGUGGUAGAGUGCUUGCCUUGCAUGCAUGAAGCCCUGGGUUGGAUCCUCAGCACCACA
rnacentral:tRNA from 1 species